rnacentral:lncRNA from 1 species
ACAAGAUGUGCCACAUUUGGAUGUAUAUUGGCCCACCCAUCACGGAAAGGAAGUUCACCAAUCUACAGUCCUCAUUUCCCUGGGAAGCCUUUCUAGAAAUGAGCUCACAUUGACAUUUACCAGUUUGCUGGAAUAAUGAUUAAUUUGAAUGGAAACACAUGUGAACACCAGAUCCAAAAUAUUUCUUCUCUGAUUUGUACCCGGAGAUGUUAAAAAGGGGAAAGAAACGUGACUGGAUAGGCUCACUGGCAGCUAAUCAUGAACUUGCCUUCAAUAAUGCUCAACAGACCCAUUUUCCUGAGGCACUCUGGAAAGCAGGGCAGCUUACAUCCCCUAAUUCCUUCCCCAAAUAUCAAUUUGCACAAUAACUUAUGGGAAUGUUUUAUUGCAGAUGAUCACUAUACACUAAUGUCUGUUAUUUGAUUACAGUAAAGCCCUCUAGUUACACUUGCCUAAUAGUUUCAAAUAGAAGACUAUGCAUAAAAGAACAACUAGGAUUUACUAUAAAACUUUAAUAUCACAACAGUGACAUAGAACUUUUGCAAAACAGUGAAGAACCAUUCAGUAUGAGGUUUUUUCAUCCUCCAUACCAACAAAGCUUUCUUCAAUGGUAAUUAAAAGUGACUUCCUCUCGAGGUUAUAGAUCGGCCAUCAGCCCACGAAGCAUUCCUAAAAGGUGGGAAACUCUUUACACUUAUUGAGACCCUCGUCAAUGGCAUUGCUGUAGCCAUACAACUCUUAAAAAGCUGCAGAGUAUACUGCUUAGCAUUCAGACCUAGUUUCCUUGGUUAUUUUCUCAGCCGACAAUUGGAAUAUUAAUGCGAAAUUAUCAAAGGGUUUGAGAGAAAUUCAGUAGAAAUUGGAGAAAACAAAAAAAAUUGUGAGAACUAAGUGUUUUAGCCUUGUGGAACAUUUAGUAAGUCUCCAGAAAUCUGUAAAUUGCAAGAAAACAUCAAUCAUCAUUGAGGAGAAGCCUGCACUAUUUGCUCACCAUUAUAGUCUCCAAUUUGGUCUGAAACCAUGGUUAAAAAGAAAGAACUAAAAGAAAUCCCUUUACCCACCUGCGGAGGUAUCUCAAUGUUAAAAUUCCACUAGUCUCAGAGUUAUCAGUGUGUGUGUGGAGCAGGGAGCAGAAGUGAAAGCUUGUAAUGAUGAAUUUUCAUGGUAUGAAACCACUCCUCUCUCUUGGGUUAAGACCGGUUCUUAAGAGUAGAGAUAACAUGCUAUUUCUGGAUCAGUGUGUGGGUGAGUAAAUUUUCUGUGGGAAAAAAGUAAUAAAAUCCAAAGGAUAGCCAUAAAUCUAUCUAGAUUUCCAUGGAGAUGACAUUUGGAUUAUUCUUCAGAUGGUGUCAACAUUAUUUGCCCUAGUUUACUAUCUUAGACAGACUCAUAUUCAACUUCCUUUAGGUUAACCUGUGUAAACAGGAUUAUGUAGUGUGAAUAUAUUUUGCAUUUAAUUCAGGAUUUAGGAAAGCGUAUUUAUUUUUAAAAUAAAUAAAAACAGAAUGUUAACAACAUGCUGGCAUAUACUAUUUAUUUUGCAGU